GUGCCAGCAGCCGCGGUAAUACGUAGGGGGCGAGCGUUGUCCGAAUUUACUGGGCGUAAAGCGCGCGUAGGCGGCUAUUUAAGUCCGGGGUGAAAGGUUCAGCGCUCAACGCGAACAGUGCCCUGGAGACUGGGUGGCUUGAGUCCGGCAGGGGGUGGCGGAAUUCCUGGUGUAGCGGUGAAAUGCGUAGAUAUCAGGAGGAACACCGGUGGCGAAGGCGGCCACCUGGGCUAGGACUGACGCUGAGGCGCGAAAGCGCGGGGAGCGAACGGGAUUAGAUACCCCGGUAGUCC
rnacentral:rRNA from 1 species